CCGCCCUGCAGCAUAUGGAGUUCCUGGGCCGGGGAUCAGAUCUGAGCCCCAGUUGUGGCCUCACCAGAUCCUUCAACCCACUGCACCAGGCCAGGGAUUGAACUUGCUUCCCAGUGCGCCAGAGACACUGCUAAUCCUGUCGAGCCACAGCAGGAACUCUGCUUUCCUCAAUUUUAAAUUAAAAAAUUUACUCUUCAUUAGUUCAUUAGUAGAAGGGGUCAUAAAAUUGUUCAUGAUACCUCUUGAAAUAGGAAACAAGAGGACAUUUCCUCUGCAUGUUAGAAGGUACUUCUGAGUGUAUUAACCUCUAUGCCCUUAAGGUCAGCUAUUGGCCUCUGGCACUGGCAGGGGAAGGGGAGGAUGGGGUGAGUUGAACGAGGCAGACUGGGGAGGCAAGACGUGUUUGAGGGGACUUACUGAUGGGUCAGGGCCUAUUUACCUGCUUUCCAUCUAUCUUCUUACCUAACAAGCCAGUGAGAUCGGUGUCAGCCUCCUUUUAUGGAUAAAAAACUUAGGUCUGAGAAACGUAACAGACUCCGUGAGUUAAUGAGUGGGGGAACUGGGAAUCCCCAUGUGUCAGAAAUGCAGAGGUGGGAGGGAGGAAAGUCAGAGAGGGAAAGCAUGGGGGUGGUGGGGGUAAGGGAAAUGGGAUUGUGGGGUGCGGGCUCACCCCAAGGAGCGCCUCCUCUCCAGCCACCCACUCCUCUGUCCUCUGUAAUCACAUCUGCAGCCCGGGGAAAUUGCUUCUGCUGUUUUUACUCCCCAGCCACUUUGUCCUUUAAGGAACUGUUCAAAUAAGCGCUCUAAGAGGACUGCAUUUGCUGAAGACAUAUCCAGUCUUGUAUUUCUCAAAAUCCAAGAGACAAAGACAGGGUCAGGCCCCACCAGUGCAGAUGUUCGGACGUGCAGGCCUUCAUCAGAGCCCUUGCAUCACCAGUUGAGGUGGCUCAACUUUAGGGGAAAACACUUGAAAAAAAGAAUUUUUUUUUACAGUGAUUUUUAUUUUUUCCAUUAUAGCUGAUUUACAGUGUUCUAUCAAUUUUCUAUUGUACAGCAAGGUGACCCAGUCACACACAUAUAUACAUUCUUUUUUUUCUCACAUUAUCAUGCUCCAUCACAAGUGACUAGAUAUAGUUCCCAGUGCUACACAGCAGGAUCUCAUUGCUUAUCCAUUCCAAAGGCAAUAGUUUGCAUCUAUUAACCCCAAAUUCCCAGUCCCUCCCACUCCCUCCUCCUCUGUCUUGGCAACCACAGUCUGUUCUCCAGGUCCAUGAUUUUCUUUCCUGCGGAAAGGUUCAUUUGUGCCAUAUAUUAGAUUCCAGAAAAAAGUGAAAUCAUGGUAUUUGUCUUUCUGACUUACUUCACUCAGUAUGAGAGUCUCUAGUUCCAUCCAUAUUGCUGCAAAUGGCAUUAUUUUGUUCUUUUAUAUGGCUGAGUAGUAUUCCAUUGUGUGUAUAUACCACAUCUUCUUAAUCCAAUUAUCUGUUGAUGGACAUUUGGGUUGUUUCCAUGUCUCGGCUAUUGUGAAUAGUGCUGCAAUGAACACGUGGGUACAUGGAAAACACUUUUUGAAAGCAAACUUAAAAGUGUCAUUUCUCCAUAACCUGGAAGCAGAAAUGUCUUUGACGAGUUCCCACUGUGGCUCAGCUGUAAUGAACUCGACUGGUAUCCAUGAGGACUUGGAUUCGACCCCUGGCCCUGCUCAGUGGGUUAAAGGAUGUGGUGUGGCCAUGAUCUGUGAUGUAGGUUGCAGACGUGGCUUGGAUCUGGCAUUGCUGUGGCUGUGACUGUGGCUGUGGCCGGCAACUUCAGCUCCUAUUUGACCCCUAGUCUGGGAACUUCCAUCAUAUGUCGCAGGUGCAGCUCUAGAAAGCAAAAAAAAAAAAGUCCUUCGUGAUUGAAUUAUAUUGACUGUGUUGGAUUGUUCAGCAUCACAGUGAGCUGAGUAAGCACAUAUUUUGCUCUGCAUGGGUGAGGUGUUUUAUCAAAGGAUAAAAUGAAAUUAAAUUGCUAUUUCGGUAAGAGGCAUGGUGCAGUGCCCUUGUUCUUUGCCAGCCAAUUGGGUUUUUAAAAAUGUGAUUAAGGAUACAGUGUUGCCACUGCUGUGGUGUAGGUUCAGUCCCUGGCCCAGGAACUUCCAUUUGCCGAGGGUGCCCCCCUCCCAAAAAAGAUGCAUGCAGUUCCUCGUGUUUGCUGGUAUUUGUUACCCAGAGAGUUAGCACUGGAUGUGACUUGACUUCCCCACUGCCCACGGGGCCUGAUGCCCUCCAGUAGUUUUCCUUUUCUCACAUCUUUCUUCCAUUCUUCCAGCUAUGGAGGGCUCUUUUCAGUUCCUUGCUUGCAUCCACCACUUUGCUGUUUGAUAGUCUUUGCAUUUGCAGUGAAAUCAAAGGUGUCACCUGGCCGCAUAUCCAAGAUAGGGCCUCAUUCCCCGUCCCACUUACCUUCCAUCCCAUCCUUCUGUUUAUAUUUCAUAGUACUUAUCACAACCUGUGUUUAGUUUUAAUUUGUUCAUUGGUUUUCUCCAAGUUUACGUACCAUAUCACUGUUGCAUCUGCUUUUGCUCAUCAAGAUGGGAGCUCCUUGAGGGCUGCUAAAGACCAAGCUCUUGGAAAUUUUCCUUUGUCUUUAGGAAAUUUUGUAAUUACAGAGGACUGUUGGUCAGCAUUUCUUCACCUUCUCUAGGAAGAAGGAUGACCUCCCAGACCAACACUGCUAAGUGUUAAUUUGAGAACUAAUACAUGUUAUUAAAAAUUAAUAUGAUUUAGGUCUGUUAUAUUACCUCUUCCUCAUAAAGUUUAUAUAGUAAAUUACACUAGAGAGAUUUAGGAAUGUUAUGAAUCUAGGUUUCAGAAUGGUCAUCUGUGUAAAAGUAGUGUAUCAUCUCAGAUCCUAAGGAGGCAGUUGAGGCCUGACUGAUGGGAAUAAUGUGAUAAUUUGGCAAUAAUCACUGUCUACCUCACCCUAUUCAACCAUUUGUACUCUCUGGAUAAAAGAUGUUUGAACAUAUGCAAGUCACAUGAAUUUGAGAAGAAGAACCAGUAGUUUGGUUUGAAAAAAAUCAGAAUGUAAAAUGAUGUAAUCUGGAGUUCCUAUCAUGGCUCAGUGGUAACGAACCCGACUAGUAUUCAUGAGGAAGCAGGUUCAAUCCCUGGCCUCACUCAGUGGGUUAAGGGUCUGGUGGUGCCGUGAGCUGUGGUGUAGGUUGCAGACGGGGCUUGGAUCUUGUGUUGCCGUGGCUGUGGUGUAGGCCGGCAGCUGUAGCUCAGAUUCAACCCCUAGCAUGGGAGCUUCCAUAUGCCACGGGUGUGGUAAAAAAGACACCCCCCCCCAAACAAACAAACAAACAAACAAAAAACAGCUUGAAAGAGACGUAGAGGGCAUAGAAAAGGGAGAAGAGGCAAGGCUGAUGAUAAUGUAGGUCAGGUCAAAUAAUGGAAGAUCUUAUACACCAAGCUAAGGAGUUUGGUUAUUCUAUGUCAAGAUUUUAAGCAGAGUGAUAAAAACAAUGUUCAGAUUUGUUGUUUUAGAAAUAUGUUGAAAGCAGAGUUUUUAGGGAAAGGUGGAGGGUCCAAGCUCCAUUUGGAGGCUGUUUAAUUAAAAGAUGUUCAGAACCAGAAUGAAGGCAGUGACGGGACUGGAGAGCAGGGUUAAGAAAUGCUAUUUAUUUUCACACACAUGUGAAUAGGGGAAGAAAAAUUUAACAUAUGCUUAGAGUGGGAAAGGAUAUAUUCUAGUCUAUUGUUUAAAUUCAUAGCCAUGAUUAAAAUAUAGGACACGAUUUCUAUGUGUGCAGCUAGGCAUACAAACUCAAAUACCCAUUUUAGGGAAAAGGCAAUAAAAUAAGCCAUUUAAAAUUUUCAUUAUUUUGCUUGUAAGUACAUGGGUGCUCUGAGACCAGAUUAUAUUUUAAUUUUUUGAUAAAUGGAAAAAGGGAAAAACAUUACUUUUUAUGCUGUUGGACUUGCAUCUCUAAGGGUAGAAUCUGGAAUAUAUCACUGAAACAAGCCCCCUCCUCCACCUGUUAAAUAAACUUAGUUUUAGAACUACAGAAAAAUUGCAAAAAUAGAGUUCCCGUGUGCCCCACCACUCCCCCCCCCGCCCUUUGUGGGCUGAAGCCACUGUGAGUUGCUAGUCCGUGGGUGUGGGUUCGGGACAGUUUCAUUCAUUGUCUUUGGCGAAGCUUUUUGAUUUGGGGGCAGAAUCCCAGGGUGCAUGCUUCAGACCAGAUGUUUAGUACUCUGUUAAAGAAGUAAAUAACAGUAUUCUCUUCAGUCAUCUCUGUGGAGAUGACGCUGAUGUUAAGGAGAUUUUACUCGCCACCUGGGGUGAGGCGAAGGUAUUUUGGCCACCCAACUCAGAAACAGCGCUGAAAUCAGCAGUGGGCAGGUUUCCAGGGGAGAAAGGAGGGAGCAGGUAGUUGAGGAACGGAGGGGCCACCAGAAUGCCCUCUGUGCAGGUGGAUUCAGAACCACCCUAGGCCCGCUGGUCCCUGAGAUGCACUUUUAAGCUUUUCCUGCCCGGGGUGUAAACAUUCAUCAAACUUUAGUAGAAUUUAUUGGUUACAAAAAUUUAUUGCAGGUGUUUCUCACCUGGCUCAGUGGGUUAAGCACCCAACAUAGCGUCCGUGAGAAUGUGGGUUCAAUCCCUGGCCUUGCUCAGUGGGUUAAGGAUCCCGUCUUGCUGUGGCUGUAGUGUAGGCUGGCAGCUGUGGCUCCAAUUCCACCUGUAGCGUGGGAACUUCUGUACGCCACAGGUGUGACUCUAAAAAGAAAAAUUAUUUCAGCUUUGCUCGGAAAAUAAAAAGAGUGCCUGAGUUUCUACGCUGAAGAGAACUUGUCUGGAGUGGGCUUUAGGAACAAGGAAUUAGGAGAGUCACUGGCAGAGUGGCCCAGAACAGCUGUCUGCAGGGCACCCACCCCAGCACCACCUGGGUGGACUUGUGGAGCAUUAGAAGCUCCCCAGGGAUGCCAGGAAAGUCUUGGUGAAGGGACAGGGUUUCCUAUAGUCACAUGGCCUGAGAAGUAACUUUUAUUUGUGUAUGAAAUAGACAGUUAACCCCUUGAAAUCUAAAGAAAUAAAGAGAUAUACAAGAUGCAUGCCUUUCGAGAGUUCCCAUUUUGGCUUAGCAGGUUACAAACAUGAUCGGUAUCCAUGAGGAUGCAGGUUCAAUCCCUGGCCUUGCUCAGUGGGCUGAGGAUUCAGAGCUGCCAUGAGCUGUGGUGUAGGUCGAAGAUGGAGCUCCAGUGUUGUUGUGGCUGUAGGCCAGCAGCUGUAGCUCUGAUCCGACCUCUGGUCUGGGAACUUCCGUAUACUGUGGGUGUGGCCCUAAGAAGACAAAAGAUUCAUGCCUUUCCUGAUUUUACUAGAAUAAAUACACACUAGAAUGGAGAAAAACUUAUUAAAAACAGUAGUCAUCUUGUACUUCAAUGUACAUUUUUAUUCAUAAUUGAAAAGAAUAGUCUAUUAUACUGCUAAUUUAUUGUAAGUGUACCCAGAGUCAAAGGGUCCAUAGAGACAUAAAAAAAGGUAUGCAGUUUCUAUUAAAUAACACUUUCUGGUCACUUUAGCAUAUGAGUAUAAUAUACAGGUAUUAUAUGCACAAAAAAUGUAAAAAGGAAUUGUGGAAACAAGUCUUGUUACCGGUUUGUAUAAAAAAAAGACAUUUGUUUUUUACAGGCUACCAACAUCAUAUAGGAUGUUCCUAACAGAAUUUGACUUUUUCAGUUGAUUCACCUGGUAGCUCAAAUAUCUGUAGAAAAGAAUAUACAGUGAAGUCACUACACAGUGUUAGGGGCAGUAGAAAUUCAUGUUGGUACAAAAUAUUAUUCAAGAUUUUUACAUUAAGCUGCAGUGUCGAGAUUGAGACACGUAUGGUUGGCAGGCAUUCUAAGAAUUGUUCAAGACUAAGUUUUUUUUUUUUUUUUUUUUUUUUUUAGUGACGUUUGCUGGUACAAAUGUUAAAGGUUAAAAACAUCAUAUAGAAAUAGACAGGCAAUGUCCUUUUCAUCUGUCUUCUUACCAGCAGAUCCUUGCCUUUGAAAUAUUGUGAAAUGCUCUAGGUACUUCCAGCAUUUUCCAAGAGAUGGCAGAGUUGCCGUUACAAACGUGAGAACAAACUAACUUUCAUUCUGUUGGUCACAGCAACCUAGAGAGUUAGAGCUGCUCCCACAAUUUAAAUACUGCUAUCCUGCUUUCAGUAAUAAAUAAGGAUAACAAUGUUGAGUUUGUCAGAAACAAUAUCAAAGAAACAGUUGCAUGUUAUGUCAUCUCUGCAACUAUGCCAGCUGCAUGAAAACUGCUUUCAGCAUUGCUUUUGUUCCUUUACGCUGUCCCCUUAUUUGUUGCCUCUGGUUUUUAUUUAAACAUUAACCCUUCAAACCCAGCCCUGUGGCACCACUCUCAGAUCACCACAGUUGGAACAAGAAAAGGUCUGCUGAUAUCACUUGAGUGAGUCGUGGCCAUGACUGAUUUGAUUGUGGGGAGCUUUGAUGUGAAUUCAGAGGCCUUUCAGACUUGCUAUGGUUCAUCUGUGAUGGGUCAUCACAGUUCUGGCAUUUGUAGUUCCAGUCCUGAGCAGUAGGGGGCUCGUUCUGUCCAUCUUUUCUUUCAGCCAGAGUCGCAACAGAAGAGACAGCCUAGGUCUGGUGGGAUGAAUGGGGCUGCCUCUGGCCUCGGGAGGCCUCAGUUAUGGUAAAAUGAACAGGUGUCAUUUCUACAGGCUAAACCUAAGGAAAGCAAUGUAUUGACCCCCCCACCCCCCCCGAACGCUACUAGGGUUUCUUUUGUAAACUUCUCAAGGCAAAGAUGUAUAUUUGAUUUGUUUUUUUUUUUCACACACACCCCUCGCCCUCCCCCCAGCUUCUGGUGCAAAGUAGAUGCUCACUAAGGAUUUGCUGUAUGGUAGGGAGACCUACAGCCUCUCCUUCCUCCUGAGGUUGCUGGGACCCAGAAUCCAGAGAAAGGACAGCCCCAGCCUGUCCCACCAGUGUCUGGCUCUGUUAAUACUCCUCUUCACAACUGGACUGUGAGCUCCUUGUGGGCAAACUCGGGUAUGAUUUCCCAUCACAUCUCUAGUCCUGCUAAGGCCUCAUGCCCAGCAGGUGCUCAGCAGGGUGUUUUGAAAGGAAGAAGCAGCAGCCACCAGGGGGCAUGAGCACACGGUGUGGCUUGCAGGAGGUCUUUAAUUCUGUCUCCUCCAUGUGGCUGGUGUACGCUGGAACAGUCGCUACUGCGCAGAGCAACUUCAAGACCAGUAGUAUCUUCUGGGCAUUGUCAGUUUCACACAUUAAAGUACAAAUCAGACUUCUCGAUGAAUGAAGAAGUGACUACCCAUCCCAGGUUGCUCAAAGCUGCUAGUGUCAAGAGAGAAGCUAGUUCCUUUUGCAGAGGGGUGAUAGGGCAUGGAGGUGCCGGCAUGUUUUGGUGACUGGAGGAGGAGGGACACGCUUACCGUGGAAAAAGCAUGCUAUCUAUGGUUGUACUUUUGGCAAAGGCCUCCCCUGUCCGUGGAACAUCCCAGGACUUUGAUAUGUUUGCAACUGAAAAAUAUCAGGGCAUUUUGCUAGAAGAGAUAAUUUUGCAGUUACAAGUUGGAAGAAAAUUUAUCGAAGGGGAAAAUUCUAGAGCACUAACACCAAGGCCCCCAGUCUUGAAAAUCUACCCCUGCCCAGAGAGUGUCUCACUAGAACAUGGCUCCUAUUCUGAAUAUUUAGGGAAUGUCUUGGUAUUACUGAUAUUUAACCUCUUAAAUACCUGAGCAUCUUUAUUUUAACCAUUUUUUAUGGUGUUUUCCAGAAUCACCACCUAGUUAUUUAAGAAGACCAUAUUCACCACAGGGCCAAAAUAUAAAGUCGUGCAGGUUACACAGGCACAGCAAGGCCACAUUUAAAGGAUUUCCAUUCAAAUUGAAGAUCUGUAUGGUUAUUUGAAAGAUUUUCCAGUAGAUGAUCAAGUGCCUAAUUUAAAUAAAAAUCAAUAAUACAAUUAAGGACAGAUGAAAGUAUCUUGAUUAAGGGGUUCCUGUUCCUAAUUUACAAUAACUAUUUUUAUCGAUGAUUUGAAUUUAUGAUUGUAUGAAUGCAGUGCUAUUCUUUGAAGGAAUAAAGUGUUGUCCACAAACU
rnacentral:lncRNA from 1 species